rnacentral:piRNA from 1 species
UCCUCAAGACUAGAACCUUCCCUCAUGCU